CAAUUCAGAUUGUAUUGCAAGAAAAAGUUAGUUCUGGCAUUCCCUUGCAGAGAGUGAUUUGAAAACCUGACUCACAACCGUCCUGCAGUCUCAGAAACAAGGCGGCAGCUCCCGUCUAAAUCUACAGACAGCACUUCAUGUAUGAAUCAUUUCUUGGUGACUUGCAAAACUCUUCUGAGAUGAGAAUCAGGAACACUGCUUUAAGGAGGAAAUGGAGAUGUACAGUCAGUGUGCACAGAAGACAUGGCAAGUAGGCUCCAAAGACAGAGCAGACUUAA